rnacentral:tRNA from 1 species
GCCCACGUAGCUCAGAUGGUAGAGCUCUUCCUUGGUAAGGAAGAGGUUCACCGGUUCGAUUCCGGUCGUGGGCUCCA